CCCCCCCCCCCCUCCCCUUUCCCCCGCUCCUCUAAUGUCAUGAAUAGUCAAUUAAAGUAUGAGGUCAUGAUAUUCAAGAUCAGUCCUGUUUCAGUUUUUGUCCUCCCAACCUUCCUGUGAUUUCAGCCUCAGAGAAGUGUUGUUCACAUAGUCCUAAGACAUCUAGCAAUGCUAUGUUCAGUCACUAGUUCAUUGAGUGGACAAGUGCAUGUUUGAUGGCCACAUUGAACAGGAAGGAUUAAUUUCUUUGUGUGUGUGUGUAUUAAAGGGAAACUAGUUAGAGGUUACAAUUAACUGAUUAACAGGAAGAGUUAAUUUCUUUAUGUGUAUGUAUUAAAGGGAAACCAGUUGGGAGGUUUUCCAUCCUUCUGGUCCACUGUUCUUUAAGAUAUCAAAAAAAAAAAAUACUAUUCUCUCUUUCUCUGAUUCAGUUUUUCAUCCUGACCAAAUCAUUCUGUCCCAUUUUUUUUAUUAUCUAAAGAGCACUAGAGUUGAAUGAUUGUGUGUUGCAUUAAUCUAAUGUUGAGAGAGCCGUUGUUCUGGGAAUGUUAGUUGUGAGGUCAGGUUUACAUCUACUAAUGGACAACAGCUAACAAAACCUCCUAUAUGGAGCUGUUUUGCAAUUUAUUGCCAUUAGAAUAUUACAAAUAGGGAUUUAAAUAGUACUGUCAAAAAAAUACUUUACAUGAUUGUUAACCCUAGCAAAAAAAAGUUUUUGAAAUGUUUUUUUUUUUAUUUUUCAAAAUUUAAUUGGUAGUAGUCCAUUGGCCAUUCAUGAAUGUACGGGUAUUUUGAAAAUUUUACUGUUUUGAAGAUUUAUUUCCCUUGGAAUGAGCAAACUUGAUCUGACUUGUCAAGUAAAAAUGUCAUGUCAGUCAAGAUUUCCAACAAGUUUUUCAUCAAUUUUAUUGGUAGCUUGUAGUUGAACAUAAACUCUCAUUGUGAUCUUUUUUUUUUUUUAAUUGGUUUUGGAGGUCAAAUGCUAAAGAUUGAGACAUACCUGUAUUAAAGGUUAGUUUUAGAGUUGAUGAAGUUUUUAGGGUUAGAGUCAAGGUUAGUUAGUUUUCUUGAUAAGCUUGAUCUCAAAGUUUUUGAUAAUUUAGUGAGAUGUUCUUAUUUUAUCUAACAUCCUUUUCUAAAUAAUAUUCAGUUAAAUUUUCCUCUAUUUUUUAUUUUUUUCUCAAACAUUGCAAGUAUUAAAUGUCCAAAAGUCUAUAAGAUCCAAUGAAAUCUUGAGGGUCUUGAUUAUAUUUCUGUACAAAUUGUUAUUAGAUACCAGAAAUGGAUUUGAAAAAAAGAUUGCUGUAAUAAAAGAAGCUUUAUUAUUAUGACUCCAAAUCUUUUGUUUCUGUUGUUAUAAAUUGACCACAAG